UUGGACCUGAUUCAGACAUGAAG
rnacentral:rRNA from 1 species